rnacentral:rRNA from 1 species
UACGUAGGGUGCAAGCGUUGUCCGGAAUUAUUGGGGGGAAAGAGCUCGUAGGCGGUUCGUCACGUCGGCUGUGAAAACCUGAGGCUCAACCUCAGGCCUGCAGUCGAUACGGGCGGACUCGAGUUCGGCAGGGGAGACUGGAAUUCCUGGUGUAGCGGUGAAAUGCGCAGAUAUCAGGAGGAACACCGGUGGCGAAGGCGGGUCUCUGGGCCGAUACUGACGCUGAGGAGCGAAAGCGUGGGGAGCGAACAGG